GAUGAACGCUAGCGGCAGGCUUAACACAUGCAAGUCGAGGGGUAGAGGAAGCUUGCUUCCUUGAGACCGGCGCACGGGUGCGUAACGCGUAUGCAACCUACCUUUUACAGAGGGAUAACCCAGAGAAAUUUGGAUUAAUACCUCAUGGUAUAUAUCAUUCGCAUGUUUGAUAUAUUAAAGUUCCAACGGUAAAAGAUGGGCAUGCGUCCUAUUAGCUAGAUGGUAAGGUAACGGCUUACCAUGGCAACGAUAGGUAGGGGUCCUGAGAGGGAGAUCCCCCACACUGGUACUGAGACACGGACCAGACUCCUACGGGAGGCAGCAGUGAGGAAUAUUGGACAAUGGGCGCAAGCCUGAUCCAGCCAUGCCGCGUGCAGGAAGAAGCAUCUAUGGUGUGUAAACUGCUUUUGUACGGGAAGAAACACUCCUUCGUGAAGGAGCUUGACGGUACCGUAAGAAUAAGGAUCGGCUAACUCCGUGCCAGCCGCCGCUGUAAUAC
rnacentral:rRNA from 1 species